UCAAAUUUUCUUUACAAUAGACAUUAGGUAACGAACAGAACAUUUAUAUAUAGUUAUUGUUGGACGCAUUCCGAACACUUAAAAGUGAAGUCAGUUCCGUUAUCGUCAUUCCAGGCUCAUAGAUAUCGUCAGCUGAAUUUAGUAAACAACACAUACAAAGAAGGGAGUUGCGAUAGAAAAAGGUAGAGCGGAGCGGAUAGUUGAAGCCGCGAAAGCCAGGCUGUUGAUGAGGAAGUUGGGUCCGGUUGAGCACGAUAGGUACACGUCGUUUAUAUUGUCCCAGAAAGCGGGAGAUUUUUCAUUUCCGGAAACGGUCCAGAGGUUGACCGAGUUGUUUGUCACGCGAGAGUCAUUACUUAGCAAAAGGAUCAAGUGCUUGCAAAUAGCGAAAAAUAAGAAUGAAGACCAUACACACUUAAAAAUAUUUCACGAGCUCGGUUAAAAAAACUGCCGAAAUCGGUCGGCUCUUUCGAUUCUUGCUGAUAUUUCAGUUGAAAAAACCUAGUAGCCGAAAAUCAGUACCAUUUAAAACUGAAAUAUCAGUUAAAUAAAAAUUUGAACCGAAACUCGGCAACACAACAUGCUGAACACAUACGUUAACACUGCUGUCACCGAGCUAAUCCGUCAAAAUAACCGAGAUUUCAGCUUUACUACUUGGAUUAGCCGAGGCUCGGUAUUCUAUCUGUCAUUCACCAUUCUGUUAAUCUCGUGCUAAUGAAACGAAAACCUGUCGGAGUGAUGUUGUGAUGUAAAAUAAAAAAUGUAAAAAAAGUGAAAAUGAGUCUCUCAGCGUGAAAAAAACGAGAAUCAGUAGCGUGCGAUCGAGCACAGGUAUGGAGCGGGGUUGGGGCUAGGAAACUCCAUCAGCGCACGCAACCGGUGCUCUUCAGAGCGUCGCUCGGAGCAGUCCCUAUUUAAGAAUCAGAUGUGGAAGCUAAUCCGGUUGGUUCAACCGUUCAGACUUCCAGGAUUCAUUUCCGGUCACCUACACGAGAACCGUGCCUGUCCCAGUGCCCGCUCCUUGUCCGGCUCAUUUUCCUGUACCGGUACCACAUCCAAACGCUGUGCCCCAUCCGGCGGUUGAAUCGGCGCCUGUCCCAACGCUUUCCAUCACAUCAAAAAAACCCAUUUGAUACGCAAAUAAAAUCACUAAAAUAAAAAUAAAAUGUUUUUAUAUUUA